rnacentral:piRNA from 1 species
UGAAUAUUUCGAAUGUGAGGUCGUCUA